GCUUGUCUCAAAGAUUAAGCCAUGCAUGUGUAAGUAUAAGUAUUAUACGGCGAAACUGCGAAUGGCUCAUUACAUCAGUUAUAGUUUAUUUGAUAAUCGAAAGUUACAUGGAUAACCGUGACAAAUUACAGCUAAUACAUGCAGUCAGGCCUGGUUAAAGGGCCGUAAUUAUUAGAUAUUAAACCAUUUCCUUCGGGAUUGUGAUGAAUCAUAGUAAUCGAACGAAUCGCAGCUUGCUGUGAUAAAUCAUUCAAGUUUCUGCCCUAUCAGCUUUGGAUGGUAGUGUAUUGGACUACCAUGGCAAUCACGGGUAACGGAGAAUUAGGGUUCGAUUCCGGAGAGGGAGCCUGAGAAACGGCUACCACAUCUAAGGAAGGCAGCAGG
rnacentral:rRNA from 1 species